CCUACGGGUGGCAGCAGUGGGGGAUAUUGGACAAUGGGGGAAACCCUGAUCCAGCGACGCCGCGUGAGGGAAGAAGUAUUUCGGUAGGUAAAGCUCUAUCAGCAGGGAAGAAAGAAAUGACGGUACCUGAGUAAGAAGCCCCGGCUAACUACGUGCCAGCAGCCGCGGUAAUACGUAGGGGGCGAGCGUUAUCCGGAUUCACUGGGUGUAAAGGAAGCGUCGACGGCCGGGCCAGCCAGGAGUGAAAGCCCGGGGCCCAACCCCGGGACGGCUCUUGGAACGGUGCGGCUAGAGUGCGGGAGGGGCAGGCGGAAUGCCUGGUGUAGCGGUGAAAUGCGUAGAUAUCAGGAGGAACACCGGCGGCGAAGGCGGCCUGCUGGACCGCGACUGACGUUGAGGCUCGAAAGCGUGGGGAGCGAACAGGAUUAGAUACCCCAGUAGUC
rnacentral:rRNA from 1 species